CAAAGGGAAGAAAAACCCCAAACCCUAAAGAAUCCACAAAUGGACGGAUUUCUAGAUGGCUUCUUCAAUAUUUUCAGGGAUGGGAGAGUCAUUUCAGAGGAUAGAGGAUGCCUAUGGGAAAGAGUCGGCCCUGAGGCUGUCACCCAGGACUAGAACCAGCCAUGGUUUUCUCUACUUGGUGUUCUGUCUCCCAUCUAAUGUACUGAACAAGACCUUUCUAGGGGAGGAAGGAAUCACAACUCAGAUCCUUGCACAAAAACUCAUUAAUGGAAAACUCCAGGGGGAUCAAGGAGUGAGAGAACCAUAAAAAACGCAAACUACAAAUGGAGAGCAUCCUUGCAGACCAGGAGAUUGUCUUUGGUACCACUCUGCUAGCUCAUUUCUCGAGAGACACAAAUCCAAUAGAAGGCCCCCAAUCCUAACCACUAGCUACAAAACAGCCUGGCGGUUCAUCUCUACAGGGCGGAGACGGGGGCACACAUUCACUUCUGACAGCUGUGUCUCUUUUUGUUGGAUGUUCUCCCUCACUAUCCACAGUUUACUAUUCACUUUCCUAGCUAUCAAGACAGGAAUCUAGGCUGAUGUUUUCUCCUUCUUCCCAUCAGACCCUUUUAAAAUCCAAAGCACCAUUUUGGGGAAAAGCAUUAUUAACUUAUGCCAUAUUUACUCACUGCCGGUUGGAUCACUGAAACUGAAUAGAAAAAACUUAUAUAUAAAAACAUAUCCACAUAAACACUUAAACUUAAUUCCAUAUCAACACAAUUUAUAUUAAAAAGUCUAGAACCCAACAAAUUUUUCCCCUAAGUAUAAAGAUGGCUGUUUGGAGAAAGGAAGUACAGUGUAUUGGUUUUUAAACCAAUUACAAAUAUACUAAGUCACCUGUCAUGUCAAUCAGCUGGUUAUGUGCUCCCUUCCACAGGGUUACAUGACGGCACUUACUUUAUUUUAAAUCGUUUAAACAAAAUACAUAUGGCUGACUCAAAAAUAUCAGUUUCUGAUCUAAAGAAAACUAUAUUUUUUGCAUAAUAUUUCUAUAUUUUCUCUCUUACUAUGGAAACUAGGAGACACACACACACACACACACACACACCAUUGACUUUAAAAAAGUAGACACAAGACCUCAGGAGUAACCUGUCAGGCACCAUGAGAGUCUUUUUGGGGCAGGAAUGGUAAAAUGACCUCCAAAGCUUGGUAUUGGCUUGCUUCUUUAGAUGAUCUGAGGUAAUAAAAGACUUGACAGAAUUAAAUCUUCCAAUGUACUUACUAAAUAUGUGUGUGAACACUCAACACCUUGGGUGAGCUGGUUUCUUUCCCCAUGGGUAUUUAAGACAGAGAAAAGAUUGCCGAAACAUGUUAACUCUCAAAAAACCAAACUCAAAGUUGUUUCCCUGUAAUGAUGGAUUACUAGUAAUGAUGAUGUGUAGGGGCUAUUUUUUUUUUAUUCUUCUUACCUAGGACAACUCAGAUGCAAGGGCCAAGGGAGGGUGGAUCUAGAAGAAGCGGCUGGAUGGACAGGUUCAGGCCACUUUCCCUUCCCAGAUGGAAAUGCGACAGUCCCUAAGAGCCUUAGUGCCUCCUCCUUACUCCCAACACUCUGGAAGGGCGGGGGGGGGCUUCACUGAUCUAAGGGGAGGUGGGAAUCGGGGACAUCAGUCAGCUCCACCUUCACACCACAGCGAAAGUCAGUAUCAGCAGGGAUAAAAUGGAGCUCCUGCAAAUGUGGCUCCACCUUGUCUGGUAAAAGUCUCAGAUAAGCCCUCAAGUCCUGAGUGGCAGGUGGACAAGGGGCAAGAAGGGCAAGAUGGCACAGGGCUUUCCUGGAGCACACUGCAGAGAGCACUCAAAGGGAAUGUGGGAGAGAGUGAGAGAGAGGUGGAGGAGGAAGAGGAAGCGGGGCUCUCCGGGAUGGGUGUUUUGCUCCUUAAGUCGGCACAAUGCCAUGGGAGCCUCCCCUUUGGAGGUCUAUUUACAAAAUCAGAAUGUUUGCAAAAGGCCGGAACAUUCUGAGUCUGAACAAACCACAGACCUCACAAAGCGCAGAAUUAGGAAACUGAAGAGAAUGUCAAAGCUGAUGCCCAGGCACCCAAGCUCAAGGUUUCUGGUGCCUGCAGGGAGGUUUCCUUACACCCUGCCAGCGUGACUCUUCGGCUUUUCAAUACUCCCUCAACAAUCAGGUCUUGCCCUGGAAGAGCCCUGGAGAUGGCUUUGAAAGCAGCAGUUACCCCAAGGAGGACCCCCAACACAAAGACGCUCAGGCCCAUAGCAAAAACUGCAUACACUUGUAUUACAUCUGUAUGAUCCAUGGUCAAGACUGCUCUCCCUGGCACUUAAGGACCACACACACCUGACAACACAGCAGUUUGGAAGAAGACACACUAACCUGGCAACAACAGGGAAGCAAUCUUAACAGUUAUUAAUGGCUUCAAAAGGACUCUUUUAGCAAAGAAACCCAUCUGCCUCUAGAACCAAGUCAAGGGUUCUAUGGGGACCCUAAAGGAGAAUGGUCAAAGUUGAAUCAAUUUACGUCCUUUCCAUUCUCUUAAAUUCCUAACUUUUUAAAAAGCGGAAGAGAUGGAAGAUAAGGAUCACAAAAGUCCAAAAGAACAUUAGGGGCAGAAAAAGCUAGAGGCCUUUAGUUGUAAGUUUUCAAAGUGGUUUUUAAAAUACUCUGCUGGCUGAUUUAUUUAUGCAUUCUAUCCUUAAAUCCACAAAUUUCAUUUGUGGAAGUUUGUCUCUAAAGCCCCAGUUUACAAAUGGCAGGACUCAGAGGAUAAAAUCCAGAAGUUGGGACAUGUCCAAACACUGGGGAGGAUCUGGGUCGGGGGAUGCCAGGAGGGCUGGCAGCAUUCCUUUACCAAUGACAACGGAUGCCCCCAAGGAGUAGAGUCUACAGUUACCGGCCUGGGGUUUGACUGGGUCCUGCUACAAACUCAAGUUUAAGUUGAAAUCCUUGUAGGUCUGUGCUCUUGCUUCAUCAGUUGGGGGUUCUCACACACGUGGGAGCAGCUGGCAUGACAGUUAAAGUCCCAUCCUCACCUCAGAGAUGAGACAGAUGGAAAAGGAAAUAGGGACAACAGGGGUGGGAGUCAGAGAAUGAAAGUUCAAACCGACGUCUCCAGGUUUUGUAGAGGGCUGUCCGGAAUGGGAGCCAACAACGUGUACUUGGUUGCAGUCCACCACACGCGUUUUGGUUAGCAUGUGGGGUGACCUCAUCAUCCAGCGGGAGCACCCUAGUCCCAGUCUUAGAAACCUUUUCAAGAUCUUCAUCCUCUUGUUCAUCCAACAGUGGUGUUCAGUGGCAACUCCUCUUCUAUGGCGAAUUCAGGGUGGGUCAUGAAGUUGUGGAUGGAGUUUUGGUUCUUGGGUUUCUGAAUGCUUUCAUGGAGGGAGCUAUGGAAUGCUUUGACCACUUUGAUCUAUACCGGGGGAAGGAAAAGGAGGAUGAGAAAAUGGGGAGGUGAGAACUGGCCAGCAGCACAAGGAACUAAUGGUUUGAGGAAUGAAACAAAAUCCAAGCAAUAAAACAUUCAAUAACCAAAACCAACUAUGUAAGAGAUCAUGG
rnacentral:lncRNA from 1 species